rnacentral:rRNA from 1 species
UGAUUCCGGGAGUAGUGGCGAGCGAAACCGGAUGAGGCCAAACCGUAUGCGUGUGAUACCCGGCAGGGGUUGCGCAUGCGGGGUUGUGGGAAUGAGCUUCAGUCGUCUGCCGGCGGCUGGGCGAGUCAGAAACCGUUGAUGUAGUCGAAGGACAUGCGAAAGGUCCGGCGUAGAGGGUAAGACCCCCGUAGACGAAACAUCAGCGGCUUGCUUGCUCA